rnacentral:rRNA from 1 species
ACGCCUUAUACAUGCAAGUCGAACGAAGUAGCAAUACUUAGUGGCAGACGGGUGAGUAACAUGUAGGUAUCUUCCCUUUGGUGAGGAAUAACACGAGGAAACUUGUGCUAAUACCUCAUAAGUCUUCACGGAGAAAGCUUUAUGCGCCGAAGGAUGAGCCUGCACUUGAUUAGUUUGUUGGUGGGGUAAUGGCCUACCAAGACUGUGAUCUAUAGCUGAUCUGAGAGGAUGAUCAGCCACAUUGGGACUGAGACACGGCCCAAACUCCUACGGGAGGCAGCAGUAGGGAAUAUUGCACAAUGGAGGAAACUCUGAUGCAGCGAUGCCGCGUGAGUGAAGAAGGCCUUUGGGUUGUAAAGCUCUUUCGUCGGGGAAGAAAAUGACUGUACCCGAAUAAGAAGGUCCGGCUAACUUCGUGCCAGCAGCCGCGGUAAUACGAAGGGACCUAGCGUAGUUCGGAAUUACUGGGCUUAAAGAGUUCGUAGGUGGUUAAAAAAGUUGGUGGUGAAAUCCCAGAGCUUAACUCUGGAACUGCCAUCAAAACUUUUUAGCUAGAGUAUGAUAGAGGAAAGCAGAAUUUCUAGUGUAGAGGUGAAAUUCGUAGAUAUUAGAAAGAAUACCAAUUGCGAAGGCAGCUUUCUGGAUCAUUACUGACGCUGAGGAACGAAAGCAUGGGUAGCGAAGAGGAUUAGAUACCCUCGUAGUCCAUGCCGUAAACGAUGUGUGUUAGACGUUGGAAAUUUAUUUUCAGUGUCGCAGCGAAAGCAUUAAACACACCGCCUGGGGAGUACGAC